CCUACGGGAGGCAGCAGUGGGGGAUAUUGCACAAUGGGGGAAACCCUGAUGCAGCGACGCCGCGUGAGUGAAGAAGUAUUUCGGUAUGUAAAGCUCUAUCAGCAGGGAAGAAAAUGACAGUACCUGACCAAGAAGCCCCGGCUAACUACGUGCCAGCAGCCGCGGUAAUACGAAGGGGGCAAGCGUUAGCCGGAUUUACUGGGGGUAAGGGGAGAGUAGACGGGUAUGGAAGGUUGGGGUGAAAGCCCGGGGCCCAACCCCGGGACUGAUUUGGAAACUGUGUAACUGGAGUACAGGAGGGGCAGGCGGAAUUCCUGGUGUCGCGGUAAAAGGCGUAGUUAUCAGGAGGAACACCGGCGGCGAGGGCGGCCUGCUGGACUGAAACUGACGUUGGGGCUCGAAGGCGUGGGGCGCAAACGGGAUUGGUUACCCUGUAGUC
rnacentral:rRNA from 1 species